rnacentral:rRNA from 1 species
UACAGAGGGUGCAAGCGUUGUUCGGAAUCACUGGGCGUAAAGGGUGCGUAGGCGGGUUUUAAGUCAGAGGUGAAAUCCUGGAGCUCAACUCCAGAACUGCCUUUGAUACUGAAAGUCUUGAGUAUGGGAGAGGUGAGUGGAACUGCGAGUGUAGAGGUGAAAUUCGUAGAUAUUCGCAAGAACACCAGUGGCGAAGGCGGCUCACUGGCCCAUUACUGACGCUGAGGCACGAAAGCGUGGGGAGCAAACAGG